GACGAACGCUGGCGGCGUGCUUAACACAUGCAAGUCGAACGAAAAUACCAAGCUUGCUUGGUUGAUUAGUGGCGAACGGGUGAGUAACACGUGAGUAACCUGCCCCUUACUUUCCUGGAUAACUGCUCGAAAGGGUAGCUAAUACGGGAUAUUCUGACUAGCCUGCAUGGGUUGGUUUGGAAAGGUUGUUUUUCUGGUAAGGGAUGGGCUCGCGGCCUAUCAGCUUGUUGGUGGGGUGAUGGCCUACCAAGGCUUUGACGGGUAGCCGGCCUGAGAGGGUGGACGGUCACACUGGGACUGAGAUACGGCCCAGACUCCUACGGGAGGCAGCAGUGGGGAAUAUUGCACAAUGGGCGCAAGCCUGAUGCAGCGACGCCGCGUGAGGGAUGAAGGCCUUCGGGUUGUAAACCUCUUUCGUCAGGGGACAAGGCACUACGUUUUGGUGGUGUUGAGGGUACCUGGAUAAGAAGCGCCGGCUAACUACGUGCCAGCAGCCGCGGUAAUACGUAGGGCGCAAGCGUUGUCCGGAAUUAUUGGGCGUAAAGAGCUCGUAGGCGGCUGGUCGCGUCUGUCGUGAAAACUUCCGGCUCAACCGGGGGCUUGCGGUGGGUACGGGCCGGCUAGAGUGCGGUAGGGGUAACUGGAACUCCUGGUGUAGCGGUGGAAUGCGCAGAUAUCAGGAAGAACACCGAUGGCGAAGGCAGGUUACUGGGCCGUUACUGACGCUGAGGAGCGAAAGCGUGGGGAGCGAACAGG
rnacentral:rRNA from 1 species